rnacentral:pre_miRNA from 1 species
UUAACUCAAAUUUGUAUGGAGUUGGAACGUUUGCCUACGUUUGCCGCUAGGGGCGCUGUUCCAACUGCAUACAAAUUAAAGUUA